CCCUUAGAUGUUCUGGGCCGCACGCGUGCUACACUGACCGGCGCAACAAGCUUCUUUCCUUGGCUCGAUAGGCCUGGGUAAUCUUUGAACGCCGGUCGUGAUGGGGAUAGAUCCUUGCAAUUUUUGAUCUUCAACGAGGAAUUCCUAGUAAAUGCGAGUCAUCAUCUCGCGUUGAUUACGUCCCUGCCCUUUGUACACACCGCCCGUCGCACCUACCGAUUGAAUGGUCCGGUGAAAUCUCGGGACGGCGGCUUGGUCGCUUGCGUCCGACUGCUGAAACUUGAUUAAACCAUAUCAUUUAGAGGAAGGUGAAGUCGUAACA
rnacentral:rRNA from 1 species